rfam:Populus trichocarpa isolate Nisqually-1 chromosome 10, whole genome shotgun sequence.
UAAUCUGUCUAAGACAGAUCCUCAUCUAGUCAUAACAAUCUAUACUUAACUGUUCAAAAUCACAUAUUAUUAUAAGCCCGACUACAUUAUUGACACUAAAAAAUAGAGAACAACUAUUGUGUGAUCAAUAGCUUUUUUAGAUU